CGCCAGGGUACUACGAGCACAGCUUAAAACCCAAAGGACUUGGCGGUGCUUCAGAUCCACCUAGAGGAGCCUGUUCUAGAACCGAUAAUCCUCGUUAAACCUCACCACUUCUUGUUAAUACCGCCUAUAUACCACCGUCGUCAGCUUACCCUGUGAAGGAAUAACAGUAAACAAAAUGGGCACGCCCCAAAACGUCAGGUCGAGGUGUAGCGCACGAAGUGGGAAGAAAUGGGCUACAUUUUCUAAAUUUAGAAUAUUACGAACGGCAUCAUGAAAAAGCCGAAGGAGGAUUUAGUAGUAAAAAGAAAACAGAGAGUUCUUUUGAAUUAGGCUCUGAAGCACGC
rnacentral:rRNA from 1 species